GACGAACGCUGGCGGCGUGCUUAACACAUGCAAGUCGAACGGAAAGGCCCUGCUUUUGUGGGGUGCUCGAGUGGCGAACGGGUGAGUAACACGUGAGUAACCUGCCCUUGACUUUGGGAUAACUUCAGGAAACUGGGGCUAAUACCGGAUAGGAGCUCCUGCUGCAUGGUGGGGGUUGGAGAGUUUCGGCGGUUGGGGAUGGACUCGCGGCUUAUCAGCUUGUUGGUGGGGUAGUGGCUUACCAAGGCUUUGACGGGUAGCCGGCCUGGGAGGGUGACCGGCCACAUUGGGACUGAGAUACGGCCCAGACUCCUACGGGAGGAAGCAGUGGGGAAUAUUGCACAAUGGGCGGAGGCCUGAUGCAGCAACGCCGCGUGGGGAAUGACGGCCUUCGGGUUGUAAACCGCUUUCGCCGGUGACGAAGCGUGAGUGACGGUAAUGGGUAAAGAAGCACCGGCUAACUACGUG
rnacentral:rRNA from 1 species